CCCAAGACUUGGAUGAGCUUCCUGCAUCUAUGGAGGGACAGUCACAACAAAAUGAAGACCAAAGUCCACUCGUCUUGAAGUACCUUCUAGGGGACAUGCAAGGGCUGGACCUCCUUUUGUUUGCUUCAAAACUAACGUGUCGUAUCUCUGGCGAGACUCCUGAUGUACAUCAGUGAAAGCCAGCAAAGAAUAAGGUCUGAUAACUUCAUGCAGAGAUGAAUAAUGGCGCAGAUCACCAAUCACAAAUCCUCCCAUACUGGAGGAGAACAAAGCCUUUCAUCGCAAAACUGUAUCUGGAUGCAAGCAGUGGAAGGGGGGUUUGUCACAUCAGAGAGCCUUCAGAAACAUAUAAAGCAAACAGAAUUAUGAUCAAA